rnacentral:rRNA from 1 species
GACGAACGCUGGCGGCGUGCUUAACACAUGCAAGUGGAGCGACGAACCGGGGCUUGCCCCGGGGCAGAGCCGCGAACGGGUGAGUAACACGUGGGUAACCCACCCCGAUGACCGGGACAACCCGAGGAAACUCGGGCUAAUACCGGAUGUUGUCGUUUCCCUCAAGGGAUUCGACGAAAGAUAGCUUCGGCCUUCGCAUCGGGACGGGCCCGCGGCCCAUUAGCUUGUUGGUGGGGUAACGGCCUACCAAGGCGACGAUGGGUAGCUGGUCUGAGAGGACGAUCAGCCACACUGGGACUGAGACACGGCCCAGACUCCUACGGGAGGCAGCAGUGGGGAAUCUUGCGCAAUGCGCGAAAGCGUGACGCAGCAACGCCGCGUGGGGGAAGAAGGCCUUCGGGUUGUAAACCCCUUUCAGUUGGGACGAAGCUUCGCCGGUUAAUAGCCGGCUGGAGUGACGGUACCUUCAGAAGAAGCCCCGGCUAACUACGUGCCAGCAGCCGCAGUAAUAC